rnacentral:lncRNA from 1 species
ACCAAACCAUUUUGGAGGCUUCACAUUUAGACCUGUUUUCUCUUUAUGAUAUUCUUCUGCACUGGGUGAAACUGGAAAUGGGUUACAAGGAACCCCUGAUAUGGUCAAACAGCCAGUUUAUUAUACACUGGUAAUGUGGACUUGGGCAUGGCUAGGGUGCUGCCCAACACUCCGAGGGCCAGAAGGAAGGCAAGAGGGAGGAGUCUUGGCUGUUGGUCCGGUAUAGCAAGCAGAGGGCUAAGGAAUGUAUACAUCUCAAAAGCCAGGAUCCUACAGGACACUCUGAAAAUGGAAUUUAUAUCCUAACCCAGGGAGUCACUGCUGUGUCUGUGGAUAAAGUCACCAUGCCAUCACGAACGUGGGAUGAUUCUUUGGGAAGAUGAAUGGCAAAAGCUUCUUCUGGCAGAGAGAUCUGCAUGUGGAAUUCCCCUUGAAACGCGAGGGACUAUUGCCACGAUCGCGGCUCCAGCCAUAUGAGGCUGGUUUAUAAACAAAAAUCCGGGAAAGCUUUGGCUUAAUUUAAAACAGGAAGCAGCGACCCAGAGGGGAAGGCUGGACAGUCUCGGAGGGUGAGCCUUUCUUGCAGUUGGGGAAGGCAGACAGAGGUCUUGGUUAAUCCGAGGUCUUCUGUGAACCGAGUUUGAGAAAAACAAAUCACAGAAAUUUUACCAGGAAACUUGGUUGAACAGGGAUUUUAUUGCACAUCUGGAAGAUGUUUUCAGGUAUUCAGAGCCUUUAGAAUGAAAGUUGGUGAGCCUGCAAUGAGGGCGUGUGUUUUUAUGGGCAGAAACUCCAUUACUACACGCUGAAGACAUAAGGGUGUUUGUAUUCUUCUGUGUUCCCUUGAUGAUGCUAAAUGGAUUUGUUACCCUCCUCUUCUUUUCAAAUUCAUUGGCUAAAAAAGCAUAGACCUAAGUAGAAUUCUCUAAGUGGGUUUAACCAUCGAAAUGGUGGCUCAAUGAAGCAUUGAUUCUGAAACGUCUUAAUGGGAUCCUUGAUGAUUUAGGUCACCUAACCACUUUAGGUGACAGAACCUUUGGACAAAGUCCAUUAUUCUCACUUCAUAUUCUACUAAUAAUACAUCAUGUCGAGAUGAUGCAAAACCACCCAUUUGUCCCCAAACCAAGAAUGCCCUUCUUCAAUGCUUCCAUUCCACGUAGGUCUACUGUGUUUUAUUUCCAUCACGCUAUCCCAGGCGGAAGGACAUGCCCAGGAUGUAAAAUCAUUAGUGGAACAUAACCUAACAACGCCCUUUUAGAAUGAUCAUGUUUAUCUUAAACACAACAUUGGAUUAAGCGUUUAUAUUAUCGUUAAAACCUCGAAAUAAAGAACAAUAAACCAAAGAGAUUCCA